rnacentral:lncRNA from 1 species
UACAUGUAAAUCGCAAGACGAAUCUUUUAAACCUAGUUAGUCUAAAUUAGAUAAUGUUUGUCAAAUAUAAACAAGGCGCUACAACGUCAAAAUCCAAAAAGAAAUUUUGGAUCUAAACAAGGCCAUUAAAAAAAUUUCACGAUUCUCCAUCACAUCGAAUUUUUAGACGCAUGCAUGAAAUAUUAAAUAUAGAUAUAAAAAAUAACUAAUUGUAUAGUUCACCGUAAUUUGAGAGGCGAAUCUAUCGAGCCUAAUUAGUCUAUAGUUGGACAACAAUUUUCAAAUACAAAUGUAAGUGCUACAGUGCCAAAAACCAGAAAUAUUUGCCAAUUGAACAAGGCCGCCUUGUUUAAUUUCCAAAAAAUUUUGCAAAAUUUUUUAUAUUCCCCAUCAUAUCGAAUUUUACGACACAUGCAUGGAGCUUUAAAUAUAAAUAAAAAAUAUAACAAAACUACAGUUUGUCUGUAAUUUGCGUUAGACAUCGAAUUUUCAGUUUGUCUGUAAUCUGCGAGAUGAAUUACCCUAGAUUAAAAAAACAUAACUAAUUAUACAGUUUGUCUGUAAUUUGUGAGAUGAAUCUAUUGAGCCUAGUAAGUCCAUGGUUCGAUAAUAAUUAUCAAAUACAAACGAAAGUGCUACAAUGUCUAAAUCUAAAAAAAUUUUGGAUCCCUUAGGCUUCUCUUACUUUUUUUUGCUUGUCUUGAUUAAGGCCUUGUUUAGUUCUGAAAAUAUUUUGCAAAAUUUUCAGAUUCUCCAUCAUAUCGAAUCUUGCGGCACAUGCUUGAAGCACUAAAUAUAGAUAAAAGAAAUAACUGAUUACAAAAUUUACCUGUAAUUUGCGAGACGAAUCUUUUGAGCCUAGUUAGUCCAUAAUUAGACAAUAUUUUUAAAUACAAACGUAAGUGCUACUAUUUCUAUUUUGCAAUUUUUUUAGAACUAAACAAGAUCUAAGGCAUCGUUUGGUUCCAAACUUUAACUCGUGUCAAGAUCUAAGGGAUAGUGGAACUCAUAGUUGACUAUAAGCUAAGUGUUUUUAAAAUGUGAUCAAAUAUGUUCUAAUUAUUUAACUUUCCUUAUCAGUGAUUUAAUCUAACUUUCUUUGUCAGUGAAUUGUAAAUUAAAUGUGAUCAAAUAUAUUUGCUUUCCAAUAAAAAUAGUAAUAAAUAAGUUAGAUUAAAUGUAACUAAAAACAAAAAAGUUAGAUUAGUUAUAAGUGAGAUGAAAAAGUGGCUAGCUAGCUACACAAAAAGAGACAAAAAAACCUACUGCUAUUAGAAACGACUAGCCAAAUAAGCAAUAGCAAAUGAUACAUUUUCAAUCUAGCUUCAAGUACUCAAAUAUCUAUUUAUCAUCUAUUACGAGGAGAACUAGAAAAAAGAAGUUGUUUUAAAGACAAAUAUGAGAUAACUUUGUGUAACAUAACUCUUAUCACUCUGACUUCUAUCGCAAAUUACUCUCUAGUUCUAUUUUUAGUUUCGUAAAUAAUCUACAUUUACUACUCUAUGCAUGUAUCCAAACAUAUAGUGUGAUAGGUGUUAAAAAACACUAGAAACCAAACAAGCCCUAAUAGAAAAUAGGUACUGCUAAAAGGUUAUAGGAACAGAAGGUAGUACAGCUAGGGAGUUUUGGUAAAGAGAAAUAUUACAAAAAUAAAUAGUUUUAUUUUGCUUGAAUUUAGGACAAUAUCAAAAGGUGUCACAGAUAGAUGUGUCAUUAAGCCUACGCGAGAUUAAUAAGUACUAAAAAGGUAGCAAUAAAAUGAAAAAAAUCAGACCAAACAAAAAAGAAAAAAAUGUUUUUUUAGUUCCCAGAAAAUUUUGUAAAACUUUUCACAUUUCCCGUCACAUUGAAUCUUUAGACGCAUGCAUGGAGUAUUAAAUAUAGACGAAAAUAAAAACUAAUUGCACAGUUUGGUCGGAAUUGACGAGACGAAUCUUUUAAUCCUAGUUAGUCUAUGAUUGGACAAUAUUGGUCAAAUACAAACGAAAGUGAUACAGUGUCGUUUUCCCAAAAUUUUUCAGAACUAAACAAGGCCCAAAUUUUGCGGUACAUGCAUAGAGCAUUAAAUAUAGAUAAAAAAGAUAACUAAUUACACAGUUUACCUGUAAUUUACGAGAUGAAUCUUUUAAGCCUAGUUAGUCCUUCAUUAGAUAAUAUUUGUCAAAUAAAAACGAAAAUGCUACAAUAGCAAAACCCAAAAAAUUUCGCGAACUAAACAAGGGCCUUAGACUUCAGACUGCUUUACAUGCUCGUACUCCACCAAGUCCUGCCAUAUCCAUAUUUUGCAACCAUUCUCCCCAAAAGAUGAACAUUAUGGAGAGUAUUGAGCAGGCAAAACUUUGAAUGAGUUUUUAGAAGAGCUAGAUAAUACGUACAGAAUAUAUAAAAAUGGUAUUAUUUCUAUUAUAGUUUGAGCCGCUGAGAUUUUGUUAAAAAAGUAUGUAUUUUUAAAUGUAAAACAACAUGAAGAAAGACAUUCUUAAUAAGUGGUUCGUAGAACAUACAUGAAGAAAGUGGCAAAUGUAACACCCUAAAAUUUGCUUGUUUUUAAAUAGUUGAAUUUGAUUUUAUAGUCAAUUUUGUGAGCAUCAAAAUAUAGGAAAAAUAAAUAAAUUUGGGAAAAAUAAAAUUUAAUAUAAGCUUAGAAAACAUUUUUUUUUGUGUGCAUUCAUGCUGUGGUAUUUUAUUUUGUGAUGUGUGAAUUUCGCAAAAGAAAGAUUUGUUCAAAAUUUAAAUUGAAAAUGCCUUUGAAAAUGAGUUGAAAAAUAAAAAAAAACCUUCUUUCCCCCCUCACUUUCGGCCAAGUCGGCCCAGCCAGCCAACCCCUUCUCCCUCCUUCUCUCUCUCUCUCGUCGAUAGAUGGGGCCCAUCUGUCAGCUCCUUCCCCUCCAACCGCCCAUCCCCGAUUCUCCUAUCUCUCUCCCUGGAACCGCCGAGCCGCGCCCCCGCUUCCCACAACCUCCCUCCUCUUCCCCGCGUUUUAGCAAGUAGUGGAGAGCCCGCGCACCAGAGCCCGAGCCCCCAUCAUCUCCCCAAUCCGCUCUUUCCUCGCCUCAACCUUCGCAUUCGUGCGCAGCAACCGCAGCGAAGAACGCCGCCGGCGAACUCCGCGCUCAAACUCGAAGAACCGAGCCGUCCCCGCCGAAAUUAGUCGCGUUGGUGAGCUCCUAUUCUUCCCCGCGCUCUUCCCGAUCAAUUUUCUCGUGAUUUGGUGCUCUCUAGCGCUCUAGCCGCGUGCU